rnacentral:rRNA from 1 species
AAGGAGGACAGGUGGUGCAUGGUUGUCGUCAGCUCGUGUCGUGAGAUGUGGUUAAGUCCCGCAACGAGCGCAACCCCUGUGGUUAGUUGCCAGCAAGUAGCGUUGGGCACUCUAGCCAGACUGCCGGUGAUAAAUCGGAGGAAGGUGGGGACGACGUCAAAUCAUCAUGCCCUUUAUGUCCUGGGCUACACACGUACUACAAUGGCCGUUACAACGGGAAGCGAAGGAGCAAUCCGGAGCAAAUCCCUUAAAGGCGGUCCCAGUUCAGAUUGUGGGCUGAAACUCGCCCACAUGAAGGCGGAAUUGCUAGUAAUUGCAGAUCAGCAUGCUGCAGUGAAUACGUUCCCGGGCCUU